GAUGAACGCUGGCGGCGUGCCUAAUACAUGCAAGUCGAGCGAACGGACGAGAAGCUUGCUUCUCUGAUGUUAGCGGCGGACGGGUGAGUAACACGUGGAUAACCUACCUAUAAGACUGGGAUAACUUCGGGAAACCGGAGCUAAUACCGGAUAAUAUUUUGAACCGCAUGGUUCAAAAGUGAAAGACGGUCUUGCUGUCACUUAUAGAUGGAUCCGCGCUGCAUUAGCUAGUUGGUAAGGUAACGGCUUACCAAGGCAACGAUGCAUAGCCGACCUGAGAGGGUGAUCGGCCACACUGGAACUGAGACACGGUCCAGACUCCUACGGGAGGCAGCAGUAGGGAAUCUUCCGCAAUGGGCGAAAGCCUGACGGAGCAACGCCGCGUGAGUGAUGAAGGUCUUCGGAUUGUAAAACUCUGUUAUUAGGGAAGAACAUAUGUGUAAGUAACUGUGCACAUCUUGACGGUACCUAAUCAGAAAGCCACGGCUAACUACGUGCCAGCAGCCGCGGUAAUACGUAGGUGGCAAGCGUUAUCCGGAAUUAUUGGGCGUAAAGCGCGCGUAGGCGGUUUUUUAAGUCUGAUGUGAAAGCCCACGGCUCAACCGUGGAGGGUCAUUGGAAACUGGAAAACUUGAGUGCAGAAGAGGAAAGUGGAAUUCCAUGUGUAGCGGUGAAAUGCGCAGAGAUAUGGAGGAACACCAGUGGCGAAGGCGACUUUCUGGUCUGUAACUGACGCUGAUGUGCGAAAGCGUGGGGAUCAAACAGGAUUAGAUACCCUGGUAGUCCACGCCGUAAACGAUGAGUGCUAAGUGUUAGGGGGUUUCCGCCCCUUAGUGCUGCAGCUAACGCAUUAAGCACUCCGCCUGGGGAGUACGACCGCAAGGUUGAAACUCAAAGGAAUUGGCGGGGACCCGCACAAGCGGUGGAGCAUGUGGUUUAAUUCGAAGCAACGCGAAGAACCUUACCAAAUCUUGACAUCCUUUGACAACUCUAGAGAUAGAGCUUUCCCCUUCGGGGGACAAAGUGACAGGUGGUGCAUGGUUGUCGUCAGCUCGUGUCGUGAGAUGUUGGGUUAAGUCCCGCAACGAGCGCAACCCUUAAGCUUAGUUGCCAUCAUUAAGUUGGGCACUCUAAGUUGACUGCCGGUGACAAACCGGAGGAAGGUGGGGAUGACGUCAAAUCAUCAUGCCCCUUAUGAUUUGGGCUACACACGUGCUACAAUGGACAAUACAAAGGGCAGCGAAACCGUGAGGUCAAGCAAAUCCCAUAAAGUUGUUCUCAGUUCGGAUUGUAGUCUGCAACUCGACUACAUGAAGCAAGAAUCGCUAGUAAUCGUAGAUCAGCAUGCUACGGUGCCCCGAACGGGGGUCU
rnacentral:rRNA from 1 species